rnacentral:rRNA from 1 species
GCUUCUCGCUGACGAGCGGCGGACGGGUGAGUAAUACUUAGGAAUCUACCUAGUAGUGGGGGAUAGCUCGGGGAAACUCGAAUUAAUACCGCAUACGACCUACGGGAGAAAGGGGGCAACUUGUUGCUCUCGCUAUUAGAUGAGCCUAAGUCGGAUUAGCUAGAUGGUGGGGUAAAGGCCUACCAUGGCGACGAUCUGUAGCUGGUCUGAGAGGAUGAUCAGCCACACCGGGACUGAGACACGGCCCGGACUCCUACGGGAGGCAGCAGUGGGGAAUAUUGGACAAUGGGGGCAACCCUGAUCCAGCCAUGCCGCGUGUGUGAAGAAGGCCUUUUGGUUGUAAAGCACUUUAAGCAGUGAAGAAGACUCCAUGGUUAAUACCCAUGGACGAUGACAUUAGCUGCAGAAUAAGCACCGGCUAACUCUGUGCCAGCAGCCGCGGUAAUACAGAGGGUGCAAGCGUUAAUCGGAAUUACUGGGCGUAAAGCGAGCGUAGGUGGCUUGAUAAGUCAGAUGUGAAAGCCCCGGGCUUAACCUGGGAACGGCAUCUGAU